UACUCCCGCCGGCGGCCGGCGCACGGGUGAGUAACACGUAUGAAACCUGCCCGUAGCAGGGGGAUAAGCGGAAGAAAUUCCGUCUAAUACCGCGUAACAACCCGAGGAGGCAUCUCCUCGGGUUUAAAGGAAGCGAUUCCGGCUACGGAUGGUCAUGCGUCGCAUUAGCUAGUUGGCGGGGUAACGGCCCACCAAGGCGACGAUGCGUAGGGGUUCUGAGAGGAAGGUCCCCCACACUGGUACUGAGACACGGACCAGACUCCUACGGAAGGCAGCAG
rnacentral:rRNA from 1 species